rnacentral:rRNA from 1 species
GACGAACGCUGGCGGCGUGCUUAACACAUGCAAGUCGAACGGAAAUGCCCUGCUUUUGUGGGGUGCUCGAGUGGCGAACGGGUGUGUAACACGUGAGUACCUUCCCUUUGUUUUUUGGAUAACUUCUGGAAACGGGGGCUAAUACGGGAUAUUAUCUCCUGCUUCCUGGUGGGGGUUGGAAAGUUUCGGCGGUCGGGGAUGGACUCGCGGCUUUUCAGCUUGUUGGUGGGGUGGUGGCUUACCAAGGCUUUGCCGGGUAGCCGGCCUGAGAGGGUGACCGGCCACAUUGGGACUGAGAUACGGCCCAGACUCCUACGGGAGGCAGCAGUGGGGAAUAAUGCACAAUGGGCGGAAGCCUGAUGCAGCAACGACGCGUGCGGGAUGACGGCCUUCGGGUUGUAAACCGCUUUCGCCUGUGACGAAGCGUGAGUGACGGUAAUGGGUAAAGAAGCACCGGCUAACUACGUG